rnacentral:rRNA from 1 species
UACGUAGGGUGCAAGCGUUGUCCGGAAUUAUUGGGCGUAAAGAGCUUGUAGGCGGUUUGUCGCGUCUGCUGUGAAAUUUCGGGGCUCAACCCCGAACUUGCAGUGGGUACGGGCAGACUAGAGUGUGGUAGGGGAGACUGGAAUUCCUGGUGUAGCGGUGAAAUGCGCAGAUAUCAGGAGGAACACCGAUGGCGAAGGCAGAUCUCUGGGCCGUAACUGACGCUGAGGAGCGAAAGCGUGGGGAGCGAACAGG